AUUACAAUGUACGACUGGCGGAAACUGUAGGAGACUACAGGUGGGGAUAACCCACAGGGAGUACAUUUAAUAACAAUAAGAGCCGACCGCCUGGGCCACCACC
rnacentral:ncRNA from 22 species